GACGAACGCUGGCGGCGUGCCUAAUACAUGCAAGUUGAGCGCUGAAGGUUGGUACUUGUACCGACUGGAUGAGCAGCGAACGGGUGAGUAACGCGUGGGGAAUCUGCCUUUGAGCGGGGGACAACAUUUGGAAACGAAUGCUAAUACCGCAUAAAAACUUUAAACACAAGUUUUAAGUUUGAAAGAUGCAAUUGCAUCACUCAAAGAUGAUCCCGCGUUGUAUUAGCUAGUUGGUGAGGUAAAGGCUCACCAAGGCGAUGAUACAUAGCCGACCUGAGAGGGUGAUCGGCCACAUUGGGACUGAGACACGGCCCAAACUCCUACGGGAGGCAGCAGUAGGGAAUCUUCGGCAAUGGACGAAAGUCUGACCGAGCAACGCCGCGUGAGUGAAGAAGGGUGUCGGAUCGUAAAACUCUGUUGGUAGAGAAGAACGUUGGUGAGAGUGGAAAGCUCAUAAAGUGACGGUAACUACCCAGAAAGGGACGGCUAACUACGUG
rnacentral:rRNA from 1 species